AUUGAACGCUGGCGGCAGGCUUAACACAUGCAAGUCGAGCGGAGUGAUGGUGCUUGCACUAUCACUUAGCGGCGGACGGGUGAGUAAUGCUUAGGAAUCUGCCAUUUAGUGGGGGACAACAUUCCGAAAGGAAUGCUAAUACCGCAUACGUCCUACGGGAGAAAGCAGGGGAUCUUCGGACCUUGCGCUAAAUGAUGAGCCUAAGUCGGAUUAGCUAGUUGGCGGGGUAAAGGCCUACCAAGGCGACGAUCUGUAGCGGGUCUGAGAGGAUGAUCCGCCACACUGGGACUGAGACACGGCACAGACUCCUACGGGAGGCAGCAGUGGGGAAUAUUGGACAAUGGGCGGAAGCCUGAUCCAGCCAUGCCGCGUGUGUGAAGAAGGCCUUUUGGUUGUAAAGCACUUUAAGCGAGGAGGAGGCUCUCCUAGUUAAUACCUAGGAAGAGUGGACGUUACUCGCAGAAUAAGCACCGGCUAACUCUGUGCCAGCCGCCGCAGUAAAAC
rnacentral:rRNA from 1 species